rnacentral:rRNA from 1 species
AUUGAACGCUGGCGGCAGGCCUAACACAUGCAAGUCGAGCGGAGCGGCGGACGGGUGAGUAAUGCCUAGGAAUCUGCCUGGUAGUGGGGGAUAACGUCCGGAAACGGGUGCUAAUUCCGCAUACUAUCAGAUGAGCCUAGGUCGGAUUAGCUAGUUGGUGGGGCAAAGGCCUACCAAGGCGACGAUCCGUAACUGGUCUGAGAGGAUGACCAGCCACGCUGGAACUGAGACAAGGUCCAGAGUCCGACGGAAGGCAGCAGUGGGGAAUAUUGCACAAUGGGCGCAAGCCUGAUGCAUCCAUGCAGCGUGUAUGAAGAAGGCCUUCGGGUUAAAAAGUACUUUCAGCGGGGAGGCGUUACCCGCAGAAGAAGCACCGGCUAACUCCGUACCAGCCGCCGCGGUGAUUC